GGCCUAGUGGCCUAAUGGAUAAGGCGUCUGACUUCUAAGCAGAAGAUUGCAGGUUCGAGUCCUGCCUGGGUCU
rnacentral:tRNA from 1 species